UGCGUAGGCGGUUUGGUAAGUCUUGUGUGAAAUCUUCGGGCUCAACUCGAAGUCUGCACGAGAAACUGCCGGGCUUGAGUGUGGGAGAGGUGAGUGGAAUUUCCGGUGUAGCGGUGAAAUGCGUAGAUAUCGGAAGGAACACCUGUGGCGAAAGCGGCUCACUGGACCACAACUGACGCUGAGGCACGAAAGCUAGGGGAGCAAACAGGAUUAGAUACCCUGGUAGUCCUAGCCCUAAACGAUGAUCGCUUGGUGUGACGGGUACCCAAUCCCGUCGUGCCGCAGCUAACGCGUUAAGCGAUCCGCCUGGGGAGUACGGUCGCAAGGCUGAA
rnacentral:rRNA from 1 species